CCUUAAUAUUUUAGUUAACAGCAUAAUGACAUAUAAUGAUAUAAACGACAAUCUAAUGAAAAUAAAUCUUUUCUUACAUCCUCCUAAAUCCUACUAAUACUCAUGUUCAUUCCCUCUAUUUUUAUUUCCAGAUUCUCUGUCCUAACAAUAGAGUAACUGAGUAAGAAAAAGAAUGGCACACUUGUUGUCCAGAAAUGUUUUACUUUUGGGCCGAGGUCUGGAAGCAUGUAAAAUUACAACCACAACCAUCAACUCAGCAUCGCCAUUUCCAAUCCAUCCCACUCCAUUCGUCUCCCACCUCACAAUUCCCCUUCCCAUACGACGUCGUUUCCUGACCAACAUGUCCGACUCCAGCUCAAACACGAGCUCCAUCAAAACGGUGAGAGUUGAAGUGAAGGGAGUGGUACAGGGCGUGUUUUUUCGGGACUGGACGGUUCAGAAUGCGACCCAGCUGGGUGUCAACGGGUGGGUUCGUAACCGGAGAGAUGGGUCCGUUGAAGCUUUGUUUUCCGGGGAUUCUGAUAAGGUUGAUGAGAUGCAGCAGCGGUGCCGUCGUGGCCCUGAGCAUGCUGUUGUAACUAGCUUCCAGUGUUUCCCCAGUAGUGAUGUUCCAGGGCCUGGUUUUCAACGCAAAUCAACUGUUUGAUCAUUUGUCUAAUACAAUUCAAUAAUCAAACCUGGUUUGUGUAUUAAUGUAAUUUAUACGCUACAGAUAUAGUCCACGUUUUCACAAUAACAAGUUUAAGCAAGAUCAGUUGUAUGUUAUCCA